UACGUAGGGGGCUAGCGUUGUCCGGAAUCAUUGGGCGUAAAGAGCGUGUAGGCGGCCCGGUAAGUCCGCUGUAAAAGUCAAAGGCUCAACCUUUGAAUGUCAGUGGAUACUGCCGGGCUAGAGUCCGGAAGAGGCGAGUGGAACUCCUGGUGUAGCGGUGGAAUGCGCAGAUAUCAGGAGGAACACCAGUGGCGCAGGCGGCGUCCUGGACCGGCACUGACGCUGAGGAGCGAAAGCGUGGGGAGCGAUCCGG
rnacentral:rRNA from 1 species